ACCCUCGGAGAGAGGGGGGGAAGUGCCGAAGGUGUGCCUGGUGAGGGGGGUGAAGUCGUAACAAGGUAGCCGUAGCGGAAGCUGCGGCUGGAUCACCUCCUUUCUAAGGAGA
rnacentral:rRNA from 1 species